rnacentral:rRNA from 1 species
AGAGUUUGAUUCUGGCUCAGGAUGAACGCUGGCGGCGUGCCUAACACAUGCAAGUCGAGCGGGUAGGUUCUUUAAUGAACCUUUGGGGGAUUUAAAGGACCGAAAGCGGCGGACGGGUGAGUAACGCGUGAGGAACCUGCCCUGUGCAGGGGGAUAGCCUCGGGAAACUGGGAUUAAUACCCCAUAAAACUCUAACAUCGCAUGGUGUAUGAGUCAAAGCAAUAGCGGCACAGGAUGGCCUCGCGUCCCAUUAGCUAGUUGGUGAGGUAACGGCUCACCAAGGCGACGAUGGGUAGCCGGCCUGAGAGGGUGACCGGCCACACUGGGACUGAGACACGGCCCAGACUCCUACGGGAGGCAGCAGUGGGGAAUAUUGCACAAUGGGCGCAAGCCUGAUGCAGCGACGCCGCGUGAGCGAAGAAGGCCUUCGGGUCGUAAAGCUCUGUCCUAAGGGAAGAAUAAUGACGGUACCUUAGGAGGAAGCCCCGGCUAACUACGUGCCAGCAGCCGCGGUAAUACGUAGGGGGCGAGCGUUAUCCGGAAUCACUGGGCGUAAAGGGUGCGUAGGCGGCCCUGCAAGUCAGGAGUUAAAGCCCUCGGCUCAACCGAGGUAAGCUCUUGAAACUGUAGGGCUUGAGUGCAGGAGAGGAGAGCGGAAUUCCUAGUGUAGCGGUGAAAUGCGUAGAUAUUAGGAGGAACACCAGUGGCGAAGGCGGCUCUCUGGACUGUAACUGACGCUGAGGCACGAAAGCGUGGGGAGCAAACAGGAUUAG